rnacentral:rRNA from 1 species
UACGUAGGGGGCAAGCGUUGUCCGGAAUCAUUGGGCGUAAAGCGCGUGUAGGCGGUUCUGUAAGUCUGCUGUGAAAGUCCAGGGCUCAACCCUGGGAUGCCGGUGGAUACUGCAGGGCUAGAGUACCAAAGAGGGCGGUGGAAUUCCCGGUGUAGCGGUGAAAUGCGUAGAUAUCCGGAGGAACACCAGUGGCGAAGGCGACUUUCUGGCCUGCUCUUGACGCUGAGGCGCGAAAGCUAGGGGAGCAAACGGG